rnacentral:rRNA from 1 species
UACAGAGGUCUCAAGCGUUGUUCGGAUUCAUUGGGCGUAAAGGGUGCGUAGGCGGCGCGGUAAGUCGGCUGUGAAAUCUCGGGGCUUAACUCCGAAACUGCAUUCGAUACUGCCGUGCUUGAGGACUGGAGAGGAGACUGGAAUUUACGGUGUAGCGGUGAAAUGCGUAGAUAUCGUAAGGAAGACCAGUGGCGAAGGCGGGUCUCUGGACAGUUCCUGACGCUGAGGCACGAAGGUCAGGGGAGCAAACGGG